rnacentral:ncRNA from 1 species
UGUGAGACAGUUCGGUCCCUAUCUGUCGUGGGCGUUGGAAGAUUGAAAGGGGCUGCUUCUAGUACGAGAGGACCGAAGUGGACGAACCUCUGGUGUUCGGGUUGUAUCGCCAGAUGCAUUGCCCGGUAGCUAAGUUCGGAAUCGAUAACCGCUGAAAGCAUCUAAGCGGGAAGCGAGCCUUAAGAUUAGUCUUCCCAGGCACAUAUGUUGUCCUGAAGGGUUGUUCAAGACUAGGACGUUGAUAGGCAGGGUGUAUAAGCAUUGUGAAAUGUUAAGCUAACCUGUACUAAUUACCCGUGAGGCUUAACCAU